UACGUAGGGGGCAAGCGUUGUCCGGAUUCAUUGGGCGUAAAGGGUGCGUAGGCGGCGCGGUAAGUCGGGUGUGAAAUCUCGGAGCUUAACUCCGAAACUGCAUUCGAUACUGCCGUGCUUGAGGACUGGAGAGGAGACUGGAAUUUACGGUGUAGCGGUGAAAAUGCGUAGAUAUCGUAAGGAAGACCAGUGGCGAAGGCGGGUCUCUGGACGGUAACUGACGCUGAGACGCGAAAGCGUGGGGAGCAAACAGG
rnacentral:rRNA from 1 species